AUUUGACGUUGGUGAUAGACAUGAUACAAAGUUUAAUUUUGUGUUAAGAGAAGGAAAUAGAAGUUACAUGUUCAAUGCUAGCUCACCUCUGGAAAAAAAGGACAAUUCACUGCUAGUUAGAUGGCCAUUUGAGAGAAUACUUUAUAUCAGACUAAAAGAGGAAGAGAGAAGCAUUCCAUCACUUUUACCAGACCCAAUCUAUACCAAUAGUACAUGUAAGUAUCACAGGGAGGGUGAUUAGGAUGGCAUCUCACCUCCUUUUACAUGUAAAUUUGAACUAGCGUUUUUGUUUGCC